GAAUAUGGGGGGACCAUCCUCCAAGGCUAAAUACUCCUGACUGACCGAUAGUGAACCAGUACCGUGAGGGAAAGGCGAAAAGAACCCCGGCGAGGGGAGUGAAAAAGAACCUGAAACCGUGUACGUACAAGCAGUGGGAGCCCCACCACCAAAGCAUUCUCUGGUGUUGAAGGCCCUGCAAAGCAGCAUCGCGGUGGCGGAGCGUCGUUUGCGACGCCCAACACACAAAACAAGCGGUGAGUGCUUUGGGGUGGGGUGACUGCGUACCUUUUGUAUAAUGGGUCAGCGACUUAUAUUCUGUAGCAAGGUUAACCGUAUAGGGGAGCCGGAGGGAAACCGAGUCUUAACCGGGCGUUAAGUUGCAGGGUAUAGACCCGAAACCCGGUGAUCUAGCCAUGGGCAGGUUGAAGGUUGGGUAACACUAACUGGAGGACCGAACCGACUAAUGUUGAAAAAUUAGCGGAUGACCUGUGGCUGGGGGUGAAAGGCCAAUCAAAC
rnacentral:rRNA from 1 species